GUUGAGGCAUGAUCUGUAUUGGGGAGCAUUCUCCUGGGGAAAGAAGCGAAGGCCGCUGGAAGCAGAGAGAGCCAAUUCAAGGUAGCGUCCCCCAGGAGGCUGCUGCUUCAGGCCAACACCACUAUCCAUCUCCAGAACUUUUCAUCACCCCAAAUUGAAACUCGGCACCCAUUCAACAACUCCCCGUGACCUUACCAAGAUUUUUUUUUUAAGAACAAGGCUUUAUUGUAUUUAUUUAUUUAGAGGAAGAUUAGCCCUGAGCUAACAUUGCCACGAAUCCUUCUCUUUUUGCCGAGGAAGACUGGACCUGAGCUAACAUCCGUGCCCACCUUCCACCCAGAUCCGAAGCAGCGAACCCUGGCCGCCAAAGAGGAACGUGCAAACUUAGCCGCUGCGCCACCGGGCCGGCUCCCCGCCUCAAGGUAUUGAAAAAGACUAACUGGAAGGAGCAUCUGCUUGCUGAGUGUAGGCUGAGGCCCCAGCAAGAUUCUGCCCUCCAGGCUGAGCAAGGGCUCCAGAUGUGACUAAGCAAGCUCUCGGGUUAGCGCUCCGGCCCUCGCCUAUUGCCCAGCGGGAGGAGCCGGUAUUUCCGGAUUGGAGUCUCAGACCCUGGGAUCCCGGCUAAGGGCGAAGGGGAAGGGAAGCCGAUCAUAAAAGCUAACUUUUCACCAAAAUCGUUAACCUGCUUCCCAUCCCCUAGACAAAAACAAAGACCCCCAAACACACGCAACAGCCCACAACCAUCCUUCCCGUGGUCUGUUGACGGUAACAGGAGCUGACCCCUUCCUUGCCAACAUCCCUGGAGAGGUUCAAGAAGCAGACCUGGGCACGAAUAAAGAAAGCAGCACAGCGAAUUCCGCGCGCCCUCGGCGGGAAGAAAGCUCGGCGGCAGUUUCACAGAGAAGGGAAGAGGCGGGGCAGCGGGCGCGCCGGCUCGGGGACAAGGCGGCCGCGGCCCCUGCCCCAUCGCUGGGUGGCGUGUGAGGCUCCCCUCCGUCCUUCCCGACACCCCAAAGUAGAGCUUCGAGAAGCUGCGUCGGCCUCCCCGAGCUCGCACGCCGGGCACCCUCGGGGUCUCCGGGAAGCAGGUGACAGCCGUGGCCCACCCGUGUCCCCUCCGGGCCUCCGCUCUCUGGCUCGCCGCCGUCCAACACUCCCUGCCCCCAGCCUGGAUAUUUUUUUUUUUCUUUCUCCCAAACCUCCUAACAGGAAAUAGUUUGGGUCACACUAAUACACGGGAGCAGCGGCCGAGGCCACUCGCGCGCGCCCACUCCCGGGGCAGCCUCCUGCACUCCGGCGCGGGCGAGGCGCCGCCGGCGACAAGCGCGGGGAGCGCAGGGGCCACCCGCCCAGCAGCCGGUGCCGCCUCGGAUGCGCCCGAGCGCCGCCCGCGCCCUGUGCCGGACUCCGCCGACUGCCCCCAGAUGGAGAGAGAAGGAGAACAGGGAAUAGAGAAUUGUAAAGAAGCUUCUUAUGGGCCAGGCUUUGCAGUGGAAGCCAGAACUGCGUGCAUGGCUACACCUAAUGGGAAACAUAGUUUAGAUGUGUUCCCAGAAGAAAAGGAAAAUGGAUUUGCCGAACAACCAGCCAGUGUCUGCCACACACAGGAAGCCAGUCAAUGGAGAGCAAGAAGAAUGAGCAGAUGGACGAAGGGAGAUGAAAUGGAGAGAACCUUUUUAUGGCCUUCCAGGUUCUGGUGUCGGUCCCCUUCUGAGGCCCCGCUACAUUCCCGGCACCUGAGUUGAUGAGCCAUCCUGUGUCUUUGUAAUUUCCCUACUCUGCUGAAACUAGCUGCUGAUGGCUUCUAUAGUUUACAACCAAGACAGUUCUACCAGAUUCGCACACUCAGGAGGAUUGUAACAGCUUGGAGGAAACGCAUGUGUUCAAAAUCUCCCACCCCAUCUCUAGGAAGGUCCUGCGAGUUCCAGUUACUUAUAUCCAUUUCCAUAAUGACAUUAGCAGCCUGGAGAUUAGUAUUUACAAUUGAGCUAAACCCCUUCAUACAGAUGCUGCAGCUGAAGUCAGCACAAAAAAAAGCAAACCAAGACAGUUCGAGCAAGCUGUGCCGGAAAGAGUUGGUUAUUAUAUCACACGCAUUGAUUUAUAGGUUCAGUUUGCCUUUACCUAAAUGUCUAGUUAUUUAACAGCUGUUAUGAAUCAGCCGGAUAGAGGAUUAAGAAGGGGUGGGGGGGAAGUAGGUGAAAAAAUGCUUUAAUCUUUUGCUACAAUAGAGGAACAAGUUGAAUCAGGUCUCAUCUAGUCAUUUUGGUUCUCUGAGGCUUCUUAAAGGGGAGCAUUGUUCGAGUGGAAGGUGAGACAGCUUAACAUAGAUCAUUGGGUUGAGUUCACCCAGUUAACCCGUCAGCGAGUGACCUAGGCAAUGCCGGGUAUGGGUUAGAAAGCAAUGCACCAAUAAAUGUCGGGAGGAGCUGGCUCAGUCAAAGUUGUUCCAACUUGCUUUGGCUUUAAAUAGAUAACUUCCGAAGUUUGGAUGAGUACAUGAAGACCUAACGAGAUGUCACGUAAGGUAACACAUGGGUUACCAAACAGAAGGCAAGGCGGAGUUCGCUCAGGUGGACCCUUAACCAUGUUCAAUCUCAACAUCAAAAUCUUGGACAAUAGUCAGGGGGCAUUUACCAAGUGGAGGUAUCUCUUUGUAAGAAUUUCUUUUACUCAGGAGUUUACAAAGACAAAAAAGGACUUCCUGGGAGUGUCUGAAACCCUCUUCUAAGAUGAAACCGAGGCCAAGUUUCCUCUUUGUAUGUGUUCUGCACGCUGUGGAGAAGACAAGCUGGGUGCUGAGGCGACUGUCCGCUCCUUGACCCUAAGAUGAUCCUGACAGAUGAGAAAACUGAAGCUCAGAGAGAUUGAAGGGUUUACAUGGACCUGGCUGCUUCAGGCCCUCCAGACCAGCAUUGAUUGCCCAGAGUUACAAGAAAAGGAAGCACAAAUUCUCCAGGUGGCUCACUGAGAGUGAUGGGGCCUCAUUCCUGGGUGCAAAAUUUAAAAAGGAGACUCAAUGAAGAAAGCUCACCCAGUCAUGCUUUUUGGGGGCUGGACCAAGCAAACAAUCACUUUAAGCCACUGGGUCUUUGUAUUUCUGGAAAAAAAGCACUUUGUUUGGACUAUGGGAGGCAUUUGGUGCUUUUUGUUUUUCCAAUUUAACUGCCCAAGGGCUCCAGCAGCCCCCUGAGUGACUAGGGUGCAGGCAAGAGACUCUCACGCGUGCCCAUGGAUUGGUUCUGGGUCCUGUCUUCUAUCCGAAGGAGAAAAACUGGAUCAUCACUCGCCCAUCUAUUAUUUCUCCUUGGAGUGACUCUCUAUCCAGAAUGCCCACAAAACCCUGGAUAAAGCUAAGAAAUUUGGAAGAAACAUCAUUAUUCACAAUAGCUAAGAUGUACAUACAAGCUAAGUGUCCCUCAACGUGAAUGGAUAAAGAGGUUGUGGGAUAUAUACACAAUAGAAUAUUAUUCAGCCAUGAGAAGGAAGAAAAUUCUUCCAUUUGUGACAACAUGGAUGGACCUUGAGGGCAUUCUAUGAGAAGAGACUUCUGUGAUCCACUCACCCUGGAGCUGCAGUAGGGGACAGAUGUAAGCCAGGUAUUAGCAACCCAGAUGAUCUUGGGAAGCCACUUCAUUGAAGACAACAGAGCCUCUGUCAGCCCGGCUCCUGAAUAACUACCACAAUCUCCACCCUUUUCCUCUCCUCAAACAUGAAGAUCAGUAUUAAACUAUUACUUGAGUAAAAAAUAAGGUUUUGUUUUGUAUUAAACCAUUGCUAUUUGGGAGUUUAUUUGUUGUAGCAGCUGGCAUUGCCUGAACUAACCCAACUGAAUUAAAUUAUCCAGGCUCUUUAAUGUUCUUGCUUCUCUUUCUUUCUUAUUUUGCUUUUGAUGCUUUCUAUUGGAACUUGCUUAAUCAUUUGAACUUAAUUCAUGAACCUGAGAUUCUGCAGCUCAUAGCACACUUUUUCAUGGCAGAGUUAGUUCAUUUGUUACUCACUGAGCAAGUAUUUAAUAAACAUGUAUCCUGUGCUACAUGUUAAGUGCCAUAUGGGACCAUAAGUAAAAUUUUUUAAAUGUCCCUUUAGAAGUGACUAACGCAAUGAUGUUAACUACCAGGAUAUUAAGGCAACAUUGCUCAUUAUAGCAAAAGACAGGAAAAUGCAUAAACGUUCAAGAAUAGAAAAAUGGAUAAGUAAG
ensembl:lncRNA